ACAAAUGUAAAUUAGGUAAGAAUAGUAUCACAUAUCUUUUUCGAACUUUGAGUAAUAGCCAUGUGCUAGGUUCGUAUUUCGGUCCGUUACGGAUUGCUUUUAUGUAAAUAUUGAAAUAUCUAUAGAAAAAUCAUUUGAAUUGUCAAUUAACAAAUCGUUGUUUUGUAGAGUUUAAGAGAGUGUAAAUGUGAGAAAAAAUGAGUUUGAGGUAGUUUAAGAGAGUGCGAGAGUGAAAUAGAGUGUAAUAGGAGAGAAGAUGAGUUUAAAAACCCAUGAGAAAGGGCUCUAACGGUCAUUUUGACCAUUGGAGCAUUGUUACAGAUCGGUAACGAUCAAAAUCGACUGUUAUCAUCCAAUAUACCCCCAUAUCAUCCGAUACGGGACGAUAUUGAGCGUUCCGCUUGGUACCGAGCCGUCCGCAUAUCGGUAUGCUGUCGGACCGGUACGUACCGUCCGUCGAAAUUAAAAACCCUACUUAAACCUUUUUUUUUCCAUUAAUACUUUUUUAUUUUAUUUUGUUUUUUCACCCUGCUAGGUGGUUUGUUCGAGCACAUUGUUUUGAGUAACAUCAUAUCAUCAUAAUAUGGCCUUUAUGAUGAUGAUUUUGGAGGAACUUAUUGGACUAGCAAUUUUGGUCUUAUUUAUCUUGUGCUUAUGUGAACUAACUUGGUCUCAAGUAAAUUCCUUGGCCUGUAAGCCAAUAGUUCAUGCCAUGCUGAUGCCCUCUCUAAGAGUUGCCCUUAAGAUAUAUAUUCUGCCCAAAUUUGGAUUAUUUUAUAAGGCGCUUGGUUAAUUUCUCAUAUUAAACCACAAACAAAGUUGAGUUACUCAUUUAGAGGAGAAUUUAGAUUAUAAAGAUUUAGUAUAUUUGAGCCUCUUAUACUAUUAAUGUUAAAAGUCUAUUUUGGAUGAUAUGCUACAAUCGGGUAGGUGCUUUUGUUGAGAUCUUUGUCCAGGUUAUAUGCAUCUGCUAUAUCUGCAAACAAUAUGCAGCUUGGACAUUAUCUUUUUAGUGAUGUUCGUUACCUAUAUGGCAUAAAAACUAUUUUCAAAAUGUAAUUUUAAGUUAAAGAUUAUUAGGAGCAAAGAUUUUGCCUUGAAAUAUUUAUUGGUCUCAUGUUUGUUUAUUGGGCCAUUGUUUGGUACUUCUCAUAAUUUAAUUGGCGAAGAAUAUUUUUGUGCUUUAAAUAAUUCUUUAUUUUCUAAGCAACUAUUUUAGAGAAAAAUUCUCAGCCUUGGACUGAUCUGGUAGUUUUUUCACUCAAAUAGUGUCAUAAUCUGAACUGAGUGAUGUAACGCAUGAUUAUGUUCAUUGACCGGGCAGAAUUGCAUGUAUUGACAAUCUGGGCUAGUGAAUCAGCACCAGGUGGAUGUUAUGUACAGAGAGUAUUUCAUCGGAAGAAAACUACCAGGGUACUGUAGUCAGUGAAUGAAACUGAAGUGGGACAUGGAUUGGAUGCCAAGAUGAUUGCUCUGAUGAAAAUCAAGGAAAGCAAUAGCAGCAAAAAAGAGGAAAAAUGUAGAAGACGAAGAAGUUGAGUAUGGUGUGAUCCGUAAGAGGGUAAAAGGACCAAGAGAUUGAAAUGGCAAUAACAUGCAGAAGCUGAGGAGCAUGAUACAAAGAAAAAUAUGAGCUGAUCAAAGAGCUUGACCAUUUUUCUUUUUUUUUGUGUUAAUUUUCUUUUCAAAGCUGGUCUUAUGAUUCUGAUGACCAUAUCUACUGAAGUUUUUAAUGUUUAAUCUCUCCAAAGAGAACCUUGUAUACGUUUAACUGUAUAUGGAGCAGUGAUUAUUUUGGGAUCGACUAUUACAUGGAAAGAUGCAAAUUUGGAUUUU